rnacentral:tRNA from 1 species
UAUAGUUUAGUUUAAUAUGAACAUAAGUUUUUGAUACUUAAAGUAAUGGUUUACCCUUAACUAUAA